AUGGUUUCUUGAAAUUUAAUAGGAAAUUUGGCCUGCCCACUGAAUAUUGAAGGGCUGCAGUAUUAUGACUGUACAAAGGUAGCGUAAUCAUUAGUCUUUUAAUUAAAGACCAGAAUAAAAGGUUAGACAAGGGAGUACUAUCUUUAAUGAAUUGAAUUGAAUUUUUCUUUUUUGUUAAAAGACAAAAAUAAAAAUAAAAGACAAGAAGACCCUUUUAAAGUUUAUUUAAUUAGUGAUUUUUGUUAAAAUAAUAAGAAUAAAAUUAAUUAAUUGAGUUCUGUUGGGGAGACAAAGGUAAUAAUCUAUAAAUCUAAUAAAUAAGAAUAUUUAAAUGAAAGAUAAGAGCCUGGAUGAGGGCUUAAAGAAUAAGUUACUAAAGGGAUAACAGCGUAAUAUUAUUUGAGAGGUCUUAUUGACAAUAAUGAUU
rnacentral:rRNA from 1 species